GACGAACGCUGGCGGCGUGCUUAACACAUGCCAGUCGGACGGAAAGGCCUCUUUCGGGGGGUACUCGAGUGGCGAACGGGUGAGUAACACGUGAGUAACCUGCCCUUGACUUUGGGAUAACUUCAGGAAACUGGGGCUAAUACCGGAUAGGAGCUCCUGCUGCAUGGUGGGGGUUGGAAAGUUUCGGCGGUUGGGGAUGGACUCGCGGCUUAUCAGCUUGUUGGUGGGGUAGUGGCUUACCAAGGCUUUGACGGGUAGCCGGCCUGAGAGGGUGACCGGCCACAUUGGGACUGAGAUACGGCCCAGACUCCUACGGGAGGCAGCAGUGGGGAAUAUUGCACAAUGGGUGGAAGCCUGAUGCAGCAACGCCGUGUGCGGGAUGACGGCCUUCGGGUUGUAAACCGCUUUCGCUCAUGACGAAGCUUUGUGUGACGGUAGUGGGUAAAGAAGCACCGGCUAACUACGUG
rnacentral:rRNA from 1 species